rnacentral:rRNA from 1 species
UACGGAGGAUCCGAGCGUUAUCCGGAUUUAUUGGGUUUAAAGGGUGCGUAGGUGGAUUGGUAAGUCAGUGGUGAAAGUUUGCAGCUUAACUGUAAAAUUGCCGUUGAAACUGCCGGUCUUGAGUGUGGAUGAAGUAGGCGGAAUUUGUGGUGUAGCGGUGAAAUGCAUAGAUAUCACGAGGAACUCCGAUUGCGCAGGCAGCUUACUAAGCCAUAACUGACGCUCAGGCACGAAGGCGUGGGGAUCAAACAGGAUUAGAUACCCU